rnacentral:misc_RNA from 1 species
UUUCCGUAGGUGAACCUGCGGAAGGAUCAUUACCGAGCUCCUGCCCUUCGGGGUAGAGACGCCACACUUGCGUCACCGACAGUUGUUGCUUUGGCGGUCCCGCCCGCCAGAGACCCCAAACCAUGAGUGUUAGUGUCGUCGGAGUACUAUACAAUAGUUAAAACUUUCAGCAACGGAUCUCUUGGUUCUG